rnacentral:piRNA from 1 species
UCCCCCAAGAUGUGGAGCCAUCAGCUGCA